ensembl:lncRNA
GGAACUUACUAAAAGAACAAGUGACUUUUUUUUUCUUCUUUUUUUUUUUUUACUAUUUAAUUUGUAAAAAUGUGUAUACACACACACACACACACACACACACACACACACACACACACACACGUAGGAAAAUAUUUAGUAUACACAUCCAGAAAUGCAUACACUAUUAUAUAUUGUACAUAUAUUUAUUAGUUUCAGGUUGGCCAUUCUUAUAUUUUGCUCAUUUGUGUUAUUGUGUUUGCACAUCUCUGUUGCUUGUGGGGCUCGCACACAAGAAUUUCACUCGCAUGUGCUGUGCCAGUAUUUCUCUACACUGAAAAAAAGGGACUGGCCAUCUCUUGGAUUUAUGUAAGCAUCUUGCAUGUAUUUAACACAAUUGCCUCAUGUUUUAAAGUUAAAUGUAACUAUAUAGUGUAAAAACUACAUGAUAUGCAGAAAGGGUGUAUUAAAUUGUUCAUAUCAUGUUCAGGUGAAGUAAGUCAAUAAGAUAGCAACGUUAAAUCUCGUGAAACCACGCGUGAUUUCAUCUCGCGGGCUUUGGAUCGUGGUUUAAAAAAGGCAUCCAUCUCAGUCAAGUCGAGCAGCCAACUCUACGUUUUUGGAGUCAGCUGAUGGAUUGUGGGUUCAAGGUGUUAUGAUAAAAUGCAGCAUUCCAGUGCAUCCCAACCAUGCCUUUACAGUCAAGGUUUCUGACGGAGCUGAGUUUCUCUCUGACAGUCUGCUGAAAGUGUUUGCAAAGUGAUCGGGGGAACAGGGCACAAAGCUAAAGGAUGUAGCUGCCAUUAUGACA